rnacentral:rRNA from 1 species
CAACCAGAAAGCCACGGCUAACUACGUGCCAGCAGCCGCGGUAAUACGUAGGUGGCAAGCGUUAUCCGGAUUUAUUGGGCGUAAAGCGAGCGCAGGCGGUUUUUUAAGUCUGAUGUGAAAGCCCUCGGCUUAACCGAGGAAGUGCAUCGGAAACUGGGAAACUUGAGUGCAGAAGAGGACAGUGGAACUCCAUGUGUAGCGGUGAAAUGCGUAGAUAUAUGGAAGAACACCAGUGGCGAAGGCGGCUGUCUGGUCUGUAACUGACGCUGAGGCUCGAAAGCAUGGGUAGCGAACAGGAUUAGAUACCCUGGUAGUCCAUGCCGUAAACGAUGAAUGCUAGGUGUUGGAGGGUUUCCGCCCUUCAGUGCCGCAGCUAACGCAUUAAGCAUUCCGCCUGGGGAGUACGACCGCAAGGUUGAAACUCAAAGGAAUUGACGGGGGCCCGCACAAGCGGUGGAGCAUGUGGUUUAAUUCGAAGCAACGCGAAGAACCUUACCAGGUCUUGACAUCUUUUGAUCACCUGAGAGAUCAGGUUUCC